rnacentral:rRNA from 2 species
ANCGCGCCNUCAUACAUGCAAGUCGAACGCACUCUCGUUUAGAUUGAAGGAGCUUGCUCCUGAUUGAUAAACAUUUGAGUGAGUGGCGGACGGGUGAGUAACACGUGGGUAACCUGCCCUAAAGUGGGGGAUAACAUUUGGAAACAGAUGCUAAUACCGCAUAAAACCUAACACCGCAUGGUGUAGGGUUGAAAGAUGGUUUCGGCUAUCACUUUAGGAUGGACCCGCGGUGCAUUAGUUAGUUGGUGAGGUAAAGGCUCACCAAGACCGUGAUGCAUAGCCGACCUGAGAGGGUAAUCGGCCACACUGGGACUGAGACACGGCCCAGACUCCUACGGGAGGCAGCAGUAGGGAAUCUUCCACAAUGGACGAAAGUCUGAUGGAGCAACGCCGCGUGAGUGAAGAAGGUUUUCGGAUCGUAAAACUCUGUUGUUGGAGAAGAAUGUAUCUGAUAGUAACUGAUCAGGUAGUGACGGUAUCCAACCAGAAAGCCACGGCUAACUACGUGCCAAGCAGCCAGGNNGCCNUA